rnacentral:misc_RNA from 1 species
GAAAUGCGAUAAUUAAUGUGAAUUGCAGAAUUCAGUGAAUCAUCGAGUCUUUGAACGCACAUUGCGCCCCCUGGUAUUCCGGGGGGCAUGCCUGUCCGAGCGUCAUUGCUGCCCUCAAGCACGGCUUGUGUGUUGGGCUUCCGUCCCUGGCAACGGGGACGGGCCCAAAAGGCAGUGGCGGCACCAUGUCUGGUCCUCGAGCGUAUGGAGCUUUGUCACCCGCUCCCGUAGGUCCAGCUGGCAGCUAGCCUCGCAACCAAUCUUUUUAACCAGGUUGACCUCGGAUCAGGUAGGGAUACCCGCUGAACUUAAGC